rnacentral:rRNA from 1 species
CAGUCGAACGAAGCGAUUUAGCGGAAGUUUUCGGAUGGAAGCCAAAUCGACUGAGUGGCGGACGGGUGAGUAACGCGUGGGUAACCUGCCUCAUACAGGGGGAUAACAGUUAGAAAUGACUGCUAAUACCGCAUAAGCGCACGAGGAUGCAUGUUCUUGUGUGAAAAACUCCGGUGGUAUGGGAUGGACCCGCGUCUGAUUAGCUGGUUGGCGGGGUAAAGGCCCACCAAGGCGACGAUCAGUAGCCGGCCUGAGAGGGUGGACGGCCACAUUGGGACUGAGACACGGCCCAAACUCCUACGGGAGGCAGCAGUGGGGAAUAUUGCACAAUGGGGGAAACCCUGAUGCAGCGACGCCGCGUGAGUGAAGAAGUAAUUCGUUAUGUAAAGCUCUAUCAGCAGGGAAGAAAAUGACGGUACCUGAGUAAGAAGCCCCGGCUAACUACGUGCCAGCAGCCGCGGUAAUACGUAGGGGGCAAGCGUUAUCCGGAUUUACUGGGUGUAAAGGGAGCGUAGACGGCAGUGCAAGUCUGGAGUGAAAGGCGGGGGCUCAACCCCCGGACUGCUCUGGAAACUGUACGGCUGGAGUGCAGGAGAGGUAAGUGGAAUUC